rnacentral:lncRNA from 1 species
UAUAGUUCCUAUUUUAAAAAGUGAAAUAAAAGUAAGACUUAUAAUCAGAUUAACUAGUCAAUCCAGCCAAAUCUCUUCUUUCUUUUUUUUUUUGAGAGAGAUAUGUAGCACGCUAUUUGUUUCGUUUAUUUUAUUUAGAAAUAAACUUUGCUGAAAAUAUGAAUCAAGUAGGAUUCGAACUUUAGAUUUCGGAUACCAACCACCAAGCCCCUUGCCACUUACUAUAGAAACAGUCGGUAAUCCAGCCAAAUCUUGAUAAUGGAAUGUGAGAGGUUAUCUGGCUCAGCUCAGCUCUAAACUAACGAAUCUCUCGUUAUUUUAUAUUCUUUAAUGAUACUUUUAUUUCAUAAACAGAAAGUUUAUUUAAAAAAAAAACCACCAUCUAAAAGAAUAGCCUUAAUAUCUUAUUUUUAAUAAAAAAAUUAUUAUUAAACC